rnacentral:lncRNA from 1 species
CGGGCGCUUCUACGGUGGCCUCCCCUUGCCCUUCCGAGGAAGCGAAAACUCUACCCUCCAGUUAUCAACUGUCCCUCAAGAUUUGUGAGCCGAAAUGUUAGCCGUUCCCUUCCAGAGGCUACUUUGCUGGGGAGAUGAUGGUGUGGUCUGCUGUCGUGAGCUCCUAGAGGCUGCCUGCAUUUCUUAGCUCCUGGCCCCUUCGUCUGUCUUCAAAAUGCAUCACUUCAAGCUCUGCUUUCAUCGUUCCAUCUUCUACUGACUUUGACCUUCUUGCCUCCCUUGGACUUGUUUACAUGGGACCCAUGGGAAUAAUCCAUGGUCAAUGGGAAUAAUCUUCCCACCACAAGAUCCAUACUUUAAUCACACCAGCAAUGUCCAUUUUGCCAUAUCAGAAACACACUCUCCGGUACUAGGGAUUAAAACAUGAGCACCUUUGGCGAGUCAUUCCUCUGUCUACCACACCUGUGCAGCUGCGAGUAAUAAUACCCAGUCAUCCAUGAUAAAAGGGGCUUUGUUUUCUCACAUCACAGGAAGCUUGGUGGUAGGAAAGCCCCAGGGGUGAAUUUGAUGGCUCUACCCUGGGGACCCAGGUCCUUUGCAUCUUUCUGCUCCACCAUCCGCCAUCCUUUCUCUAUAUGUAAUCGUUACCUUUUUUUUUUUAACUUGUCUUCUACCAGUUGUAAGAUGGAUGCUGCAGCUCCAAGCACCACCCUGUGCAAAGCAGAAGAGGAGUAUUUCCUUCUAUAUCAGCCAAAAUAGUGUAGUGGUAACAAACAACCCCGAAACGACUUCACAUACACUUCCUCAAAUCUUAGGGCCUAAAAAGACAAGAGUUUAUUUCUCACUCAUGCUACCUGGGGGUUCUGUUCCAUGUCCCCUCGGUCCAGGUCCUGGCUGACAGAACAGCCAUGAUUGUGUGGCCACACUGGCUUUUAAAGCUUCCAGCUGGAAGAGACACACAUAACUUCUACUCACAAUCCACUGGACAAAGCAGCUCACUCCUGUCUCGAUGGGGGAAGGGAGGUACCACCCUGGACAUGCCCAGGAGGUCAACACCCAAAAUCAUCUGUAAGCAGAGCUAGUGACUAUUCAAUCUGCCCUUCUGGUCACACUCUCCCUUCCACAGGCAAAAUAUACUCUCCAUCCUUCCAGGGAAGCAGCCAAAGCCCCACACCUCCACAACAUCAAGUCUGAGGCCCCUGGGGGAUACAGAGUGGUCCUUGCAUCAAGUCAGGAUGUGGCUCCUCUUGAUCCGGAGACCUAUAAACUGAAAAGAUAGGUUACUAAGUUAACUUCCAAGUGAGUGUUUGCUUGAGUGAGAAAAAAGAAAGGCCUCUGUUCUUAGAAGCCACUAAGAUUUUUGUUGUUGUUGUUGUUGUUUCUUGACGUGGAGUUUUGCUCUUGUUGCCCAG